UUGUUAUUUAUAGAUAUUUCUGGUUACUACUGAACAGAUUUCUUUCCCUCAUAUUUUAAUUUUGAAGGUUAAACUCUUGCCCCAAGAGCAAAAGGGGUAAUCAUACUACCUGAUGUAUGGACUUUUACACCAGGCUUUUACCCUGCACGAGCUGGCCAACUUGAGGGGAACUGAAGUGGGCAAACCUCGCCCUGUCGUUGAACAAGAAAGCUGGAUUUGUUGAGAGAGUAUCAUUUAAGCUGAAAUCCAGCAUGAAACCAGGGAGAUCACGGCCAUCGCACAGGCCAUGUGCCGAAUAUUCACUUUCCACCAGCUUGUGACUUGCUCCAUGAAGGGAGCAACAACUACAAAGGGGUCACCAAGACCAAGCCUCCCCGCUGCUGAGAGAAAUGCAAUCAUUGAUGUCAUAGCCAAAACCUUUGACAAGCCUUCGGUUGAUGUUGAAGAAAAGAUGAGAGGUUGUUUAAGGCAUCUGCGGCUGAUGCACAAGUAGACUGAAGUCUUUGUAAAUAAAAUGUGCUGUUAAAAUGAUUAUUUAACCAUUGUUUUCACUUUGUUAUAUAGAUUUGCACCUGUUUCAACAACAUUAACUUAUUUUUAUGCUCCCAGUAGGGUCUCAUAUAGCAGUUGAACUGUCCGUCUGUCUGUCUAUCCGUCCGAAAACUUUAGCAUUGGUCAUAACUUUUGCAAUAUUGAAGAAAGCAUCUUGAUAUUUAGCAUGCAUGUGUAUCUCAUUGAGCUGCACAUUUUGAGUGGUGCAAGGUCAAGGUCAUCCUUCAAGGUCAGAGGUCAAAAUCCAAUGGAAGAAAUAAGCAAAGAGAGAUAAUUUCUAUACCUGCCAAAUGAUAAAUAGAAAUUCUAUUUCAAAGCGGUGCAGUAGGGGGCAUUGUGUUUCUGACGAACACAUCCACAUCUCUUGUUUGUAUUUAUUCCAUACAAUCUUACUUUUUUCAGUUCUUUCUUUGUGUUCAAUGUUAUGUUAUAACACUAUUAUAUUUUAUUAUAACAAUGCCAUGUCUGUCAAAAUAGUUUUAUCAUGCUGUGUUUAUGGAUAUAUAUGUAAAGUUUUAUGUUUUAUCGUUUAAAAAAAAGUAAUUAGAAUUUAA